CAGCAGCCGCGGUAACACGAAGGGGGCUAGCGUUGCUCGGAAUUACUGGGCGUAAAGGGAGCGUAGGCGGACAUUUAAGUCAGGGGUGAAAUCCCAGAGCUCAACUCUGGAACCGCCUUUGAUACUGGGUGUCUUGAGUGUGAUAGAGGUAUGUGGAACUCCGAGUGUAGAGGUGAAAUUCGUAGAUAAUUGGAAGAACACCAGUGGCGAAGGCGACAUACUGGAUCAUUACUGACGCUGAGGCUCGAAAGCGUGGGGAGCAAACAGGAUUAGAGACCCCCGUAGUCCCUGUCUCUUUACC
rnacentral:rRNA from 1 species